rnacentral:rRNA from 1 species
AUACCCUAUUAUUUCUAUUGUAAAAAGUGAAGAUCUGAGUAAUAAUAGCUAUGGUCUUGAAACUUAAGGAAUUUGGCGGUAUUAUAGUCUAUUUAGAGGAAUCUGUUAUGUAAUCGAUAGUCCACGGUGGACCUUACUUAUAUUAAAUUCUUGUAUAUCGCUGUUUAUGAAUAUAUUAGGAGAUUAUAAUUUUCUAAAUAUUUGAGUUAUUAAAAUUUCAAGUCAAGGUGCAGUAAUAUAUAAGUUGAGUAAUGGGUUACAAUAAAAUAAUUUAAACGGAUGGUUAAAGGAAGGAAAAGGAAAAGUAACUUGAAGGUGAAUUUAACAGUAAUUUUUUGAAGAUUGAAAAAAUGAUUAGAGCUCUAUAAUAUGUACACAUCGC